rnacentral:rRNA from 1 species
GACGAACCGUCCAAACGUUAUUCGGUAUCACUGGGCUUAAAGAGUUCGUAGGCGGCCAGACAGGUCAGGUGUGAAAUCCCUCGGCUCAACCGAGGAACUGCGCUUGAAACCGUCAGGCUUGAGGGAGAUAGAGGUGAGCGGAACAGAUGGUGGAGCGGUGAAAUGCGUUGAUAUCAUCUGGAACACCGGUGGCGAAAGCGGCUCACUGGAUCUUUUCUGACGCUGAGGAACGAAAGCUAGGGUAGCGAACGGG